CUCGGACUUUGCGUCCAUCACACACAACUGGCAUAAUUCAUCCUACAAUCAAAUCAUCGACGAGUGAAUUUCAGGAAUCUUUGUCACAAGCGAGCUCGAUGUGUUCGAUACGAGUCGAAGCGCGAGCAUCGAGCGAAACCGCACGUUUACAUUUCUCGGCUGCGACUGCUGGCGACGAACCGCAAGCCAGAUUAUCACGAUAAUUUUUCCACGAUAAGAAGUUAAUUAUCGAUCAAGCCGCUAACUGGAACGCUAACAGAACGCUAUUAUGAUAUUCCAUCAUAAUAUCAACCGAUUGAUAAAACAUUCCUUUGGAGGGGGUGAUAAAACAUCGCUUAUAUUUUCGAAAUAAAUUUUUAUCUCUACAAUAAAUAUUUCUAAACGUAAGUAAGAUUUCUAUAAAAUAUUGCACUCUUAGCUAAGUGCAAUCAAUCUGAAUGCAAAAUAAAAAUGAAACAGCAAUGUAGUCCAAGGUGUUAUAAAUGGCUUUUAAAUUAUCCGCGCGACACUUUCUUUCAAACAGAAGAAUCGAGGUAGUAAUUGAGAAAAAAAGAGAAUACAUAACGAAACAAAGUAACAACACAGGAAAUUGGUUUCCACCGGGCAGAAAAUAAUAUUCUCCUCUACCUUGUACAGAGAAUUGAUGCAACUGAAAAGCAAGCACGUUCCUCCGAACGUCGCGUACAAGGUAAAAGGCCCCGUGUACUUUCUCCCGUCGAGUUCUCAUUCCGCUUCAGCAGAGGAACGAGCUCAAACAAGAAAGAUUUUCGAACUUCCUUAGUGAAAAAAAAAGGAAAAGAGUUUGAAUAUUUAGGGAGAAAUUAAAGAGGAUCGAUAUGUUGUUAAAUUAGAUAAUCUUGAUUUAAUUGUAACAUCGACGAAUCCAUUGGAGGCGUCGAAAAGAAACGCUUGGCGUCGUUGCAAAUCAAUUUCACCGGCCAACAAAGAGAUGGAAUGAAAGGAAUGCGUUCCACUCUGAGCACCGUAAUAUCGCGAAACGAACAAGAAAUCCUGAACAAUCGACGUCAACAAAAGCGAUGCAUAAAAAUCUAUACAGGGUGUCCCACUGACCAUUGUGUAUGUAGAAACUGUAGGUGGAUUAAAAUGAUCAAUCGUUCAGUUAUAAAUCAUUUCAAUUGCAACGGAUAAUUCUUCUGGAAGAUAAAAGAAAAGAUUAAUUUAGCUAUUGAAAUUAACAAAUAUAAAUGACAACAGGAAUAUUAAAAAAUUUAUACACAGGGUAUAUGCUUUAAACUCGAUUUCAAACUUUCUCCACCUGUCGGCAACGACAGAAGAAACGAAAAGAUCGGAUUUAACACCUUCGAUUCACUUCCAAAAUUGAUUAAUCUCGAAGGCUGAAAACAACUGGUGGAUGGCUGUAAAUCAAUUUCACCGGACAAUAAAGGAACUCAACGAAAGGAAACAGCACGCGUUCCACUCCGCGCACUCUAAUAGAUCAUUCACACCGGUAACGAGCACGUGUGUCAUGAAUAUAACGUUACACCGUGUACAUUGUGUACGCAACGAUCGUUUGACGAAUUCCUUUGACACCGUUUUGCUUUUGCAUCAAACAUUUUCAGAUUUCUUUACGGAGUAAAGCAUUCAGAUUUCUCGGAGCCGACCGUGGAAAAAUAAGGAUUCGUUGUUUAUUUUUUACUGCACCCCAGAAAAAAGGAUGAAAGAAGGUUUCUUGAUGGUUGAAAAAUGGCUUACAGUGUCAGAGGUUAAAUCGGCAAGGUAAAGGCAGGCUUCGAGGCGGUCAGGUCGUCGAGGCACAACGAUCACUUUUGUUCUUGGAACGAGACAAUGGCAGCUAAUAAGGAUCAGGCUAAUUUUCAUAUUCAGGUAUCCGCCCUGUGGCCCUGCAGCCACGUUGUUGGACGGGUUUAGGGAGGGUCUAUGCUUUUACCCGAUGAAUUUUCAUGCGUUCGACGAAGAAAGAAGAAUAACAGGAUGUCGAAGUUGAGAGAAUAUUGAAUACAUCAUUUCAAAAUUAAAUUAAUCCGUCUGUUCAAAUUCGUAUAGAGAAACUUUGUAAUUCUAAUGAAAUAAAAGAAGGAACCAAGUAAAAAUGAUCCAAGGAUUAAUAAUUAAAUAGAAUACAGAAACACUUGCAUCGUUAUCACUUAAAAUUGAAGAAUACUUGACCAAAAAUUUCAAGAUUUAUAAAAUAAGGAACUCUAAAUUCGGCUCCGUUGUCCGUCAGUAAAUAUCUCACUCGAGGAUCAACACCAUAACUGUCGUACAGGAAUUUCACGAUGACUCGUUAAUUAACACUACUCCACUAAAUUUUCCGUCUUCGUUCGAGUAAAUUCGAGGAACAAUUUACUUAAUCACAAAAAAACGACCUCGACACAAAUUCUCCACGUAAGCAGAACUGUGUGUUUCUUGUUUCUCCGUCGAUCCAGCGUCACUUGGAAAUCUUAUUUUUAUUAAAGGAAAAAUAAAAAAUGGUACUUUUCGGUCAG